GUGCUUGCUUCCACAGCACAUCUACUAAAAUUGAAAGGAUACAAAGAAGAUUAGCAUGGCCCCUGUGCAAGGAUGACAUGCAAACUUGUGAAGUGUUCCAUUAUAAA
ensembl:snRNA U6 U6 spliceosomal RNA